rnacentral:lncRNA from 1 species
GUGUGCGCGCAUGUGUGUGUCCAGAGAUGAUUUGAGGCCUAAUUUGCCUCAUCUGUGUGGGCAAAGAAGAAAGGCUACACUCAGGGGUGAUUGCAUAUUAGGGACAAGUUAAGACAGCUGAGGUUAAGUUGUUUACCAGAGAAUGUGCUAAUGUUAUUGGAAACCAGAUGAAUCCUGUGUUACCUUGAUUACUCAUGCUCAUGUUUGGGUGAAUAAAAGCCAGGUGAGGCAGAGGCUCUGGGCUCUUCUGCCUGCUAGAGUUACAUUGUUCCCUGUGUCCAUCUGUCCCCAUCCCGUGUACUCCAGGUCCAGGGAGGAAGGGAGGAACAAAGAGGCCACUCCAGAUCCCGGAGCAAGGCGUCCCAGGUAUCCCCCACUCUGCCACCAGCUGCUGCACGCUGACAGCCACCUUCCUGACAGCCAGCUCCUGGGUCUCAUUCUGUCACAGCUUCUCCAGACUGAUGGACAUCUGUCAUUCAGCUCUUCCCACCCAGCACCUGCAAUCCUUUCUCCGCCUUGAGAAGUGUCCAUAUCCAGCUGCAGACAGCCUACCGAGCAAAUACAAGGCAAGCAGCCUAUAGGCCCCUGGAAAGCAGGUGACUCUGUCCUUCCAUUGUUUGCCGUGCUGCACCCAUCCU